GACUGAAUCUCACUAAAUUGCCCAGGCUGGGUUUGAAUUUGGGAUCUUCCUGCCUCAGUUUCCGAGAGUGCUGGGAUUACAGGCGCGCGCCACCACACCCUGUUUAAAAUCCCUUUUUAACUGUCCCAUUCCUUUCCCAAAGCUUCUGCUGUUUGGCACCUUUCUCCUCAGUGCUCCCCCGAAACACCCCUUCACACGCCCCGCCGCUGAGCCGCCUCCUUUAGGCUGGCGCGCGGUUCCUCCUGGCGCCCGGCAGGGAAACGAGCAGCGGAACAGUGCAACCCCUCUAGGGGGCCCUCCAAAGGCCCGGAGGUCCCCGGGAGGAAGCACCCUGUGUAACUCGGUUCCCGUGCGCGCUCGCACUGGGUCCUCCAGGCCGCUCCGCCGCGCAGGAAACGGCUGAGGCUUCCGUGACCCCACUGACGACCAGGACCCGGGUACUCCUUCCCCGACUUCGGUCUCUCGCCAGACCGUGCCCCUCUCAGCGCCUGCCCCGCAGGAGGACACCAGGGCUUCCCGCAGCCUGGGCACACGUUUCCACCACCCCCGGCCCUUUGUCCCUCCCGGACCGCCCCUCACUGCCGUCUCCAUGGCGCCCGACGACUCGGGAAGCGUCCGGGCCAGGGACUGUGCGUCUGGGUUAAAAGCUAGGCCCGGGCUGGGUGUGUGCGACCGAGCGUCCCACUCUCUCCCUCCCUUCCAGGGGACAGAGGCCAGGGGACGGACAGGGGCCGGGACAGUACACCGCAGCUGGCGUUCCCCGGUCUCCAGGACACGGGAAGGACGGGAGCCACCUUUGGAUGAGAUGAGCAGACCCUGGCCCAGUUUACACUCAUAAGACCUGACGACUCCCCGCCAGGCCUCCCACCAGUGUCCUUGGAACCUCUCCUCACAACAAUCCGAGAUGAGCAGUACACCCUGGGGAAGGAGAUCUGCAUCUGGGGCCUUCAGCUGAGCAACCCGGAGAUUGCCAGACUCGUGAGUCACACUUUAAAAUAUUUCUUCAAACUUUAAAAUUGAAUGCAAUGUGUAGUCCAGUUGUAGUCGAUUAGGUUGCUGACUGAUAACACUGCAAGGCUUUCUUUUCUAAUAAAUAACUGUAUUUUUAAUGAAAUAUUUGAAACAUAAAAAUGCAAAAAAAUAGUAGAACUGAUAUCCAUGCGCUUACCAAACAGAUGUAAUAUGGUUUUUUUUUUUGGUACCAGGGAUUGAACUCAGGUCCUUGUGCUUGUGAGGCAGGUGGCAGAACCACUGAGCUAAAUCACCGGCCCUGUAUUAUGGAUUUUUAAGGAAUAAAAUUUUCAGACAUUUACAUGGAUAAUAGCUUAAACUUCAUUUCACUUCUUUUCCCCCUAUCAACUUCCUGGUGGUACCACUGGCCUAAAGUUGAUGUGUAUUAUGCAUACCCAUGUUUACAGCAGCACAACUCAUAAUAGCUAAAUCUUGGAAAUGGCCCAUACGUCCAUCAAAAGAUGAGUGGAUAAAGAAAAUGUUGUAUUUAUGUACAUUGGAGUACUACUCUGCCAUAAGGAAUGGCAAAUUUAAGUCAUUUGUAGGAAAAUGGAUGCACCAUGAGACCAUAAUAUUAAAUAAGUAAAUCAGACACACAAGCUUAAGUGUCACAUAGCUUCUCUUAUGAAAACUCUAAUAUAAAUUAAAAAGUAAAAUAAAAGGUAGAUGAUUAAACAUAGGGAGAUAGGUUUUUUGUAAAUGGGAAUGGGAUCUAGAGAUAGAGGAAGGGGGAAGAGAGGAGAGGGAAAGGGAAAAUGAAAAGAGUUAAGGUCUCUUAUAUACAUGUACC
rnacentral:lncRNA from 1 species